rnacentral:rRNA from 1 species
UCGAGGAUCUUCGUCAAUGGGCGCAAGCCUGAACGAGCGACGCCGCGUGUGCGAUGAAGGCCUUCGGGUUGUAAAGCACUGUCGAGGGGGAUCAAGGCCCGCAAGGGCUUGAUUGAUCCCUGGAGGAAGCACGGGCUAAGUUCGUGCCAGCAGCCGCGGUAAGACGAACCGUGCGAACGUUGUUCGGAAUCACUGGGCUUAAAGGGCGCGUAGGCGGCAGGCGAGGUCGGGGGUGAAAUCCCGCAGCUUAACUGCGGAAGGGCCUCCGAUACCGGCUUGCUGGAGGAGGGUAGGGGUGCGCGGAACUUCUGGUGGAGCGGUGAAAUGCGUUGAUAUCAGAAGGAACGCCGGCGGCGAAAGCGGCGCACUGGACCCUUUCUGACGCUGAGGCGCGAAAGCCAGGGGAGCAAACGG